UACGUAGGGGGCAAGCGUUGUCCGGAUGUAUUGGGCGUAAAGAGCGUGUAGGCGGCCAUACAGGUCAGCUGUGAAAACUCGAGGCUCAACCUCGAGACGUCGGUUGAAACCGUAUGGCUAGAGUCCGGAAGAGGAGAGUGGAAUUCCCGGUGUAGCGGUGAAAUGCGCAGAUAUCGGGAAGAACACCCGUGGCGAAGGCGGCUCUCUGGGACGGUACUGACGCUGAGACGCGAAAGCGUGGGGAGCGAACAGG
rnacentral:rRNA from 1 species